GAUGAACGCUGGCGGCGUGCUUAACACAUGCAAGUCGAGCGAGGCUAGAGAGCUUGCUCUCGAAACCUAGCGGCGAACGGUCGCGUAACACGUAAGCAACCUGCCCCCCAAGACCGGGAUAGCCCGCCGAAAGGUGGAUUAAUACCGGAUGUGGACACGUGGAGGCAUCUCUGUUGUGUUUAAAUCAGGCAACUGGCUUGGGGAUGGGCUUGCGGCCUAUCAGCUAGUUGGUGUGGUAACGGCGCACCAAGGCGACGACGGGUAGCUGGUCUGAGAGGAUGGUCAGCCGGACUGGGACUGAGAUACGGCCCAGACUCCUACGGGAGGCAGCAGUUGGGAAUCUUAGGCAAUGGACGAAAGUCUGACCUAGCGACGCCGCGUGAGGGAAGAAGGCCUUCGGGUUGUAAACCUCUGUCAUGGGGGAAGAAGUAAGUGACGGUACCCAAGAGAAGCCCCUGCUAACUACGUGCCAGCAGCCGCGGUAAGAGUACUCUAU
rnacentral:rRNA from 1 species